rnacentral:rRNA from 1 species
GACGAACGCUGGCGGCGUGCUUAACACAUGCAAGUCGAGCGGUAAGGCCCUUUCGGGGGUACACGAGCGGCGAACGGGUGAGUAACACGUGGGUGACCUGCCCUUAGCUCUGGGAUAAGCCUGGGAAACUGGGUCUAAUACCGGAUAUGACUCCAUGACGCAUGUUGUGGGGUGGAAAGCCUUGUGCGGCUAGGGAUGGGCCCGCGGCCUAUCAGCUUGUUGGUGGGGUGAUGGCCACCAAGGCGACGACGGGUAGCCGGCCUGAGAGGGCGACCGGCCACACUGGGACUGAGACACGGCCCAGACUCCUACGGGAGGCAGCAGUGGGGAAUCUUGCGCAAUGGGCGAAAGCCUGACGCAGCGACGCCGCGUGAGGGAUGACGGCCUGGU